UUAUAGCUAAUAUUUAUUUAAAUCAAGAAAUAAUGUUAAAAUAAAUAUAUUUACUUGAACAUAAAGAACUUUUUUCUCAGUGUAAUUAAAUUAUGUUAGAAUGUCAAAACUUUUCGCAGGCUUGAUAUUCAUGCUUGAGCUUCCUACGUACAGAUAAAAAUAACUGAAAAAAAACUAGGUAAAAAAUUCAAUUAAAAAACUCAUUAAAAAAGGACAGUAUUUUUACUCUGGCCUUGAAAAAUGUUUCUCUUGGAUGUUUUCCGAUAUUUAAUGUCGUAUUAUUAUUCCAGAAUUCAAUUUUUGCAUUCAUCCAACAGAUUUCUGAUAUAAAGUUAAGUUUAAACAAAUUAAAAUGUAUGUAUAGUGACUAACUGACUGUAGAUACCUAGAUUAUCAUUGUCGGUAGGAAGACUAGGAAGCAGGAAUUUAAAGGUCAUGCUAUUUGAUACGCGUACAAGAAUAUUUUCACUUUGAUUUGAAAUUAUAAAAACACAAAAGUAAUAAAUAAUAAUGAAAUAGCGCAUCAAACGCAUAUCAAACGUUUUAAUAAUAAAUAUCAAGAAAAUAAAAUCUAUAUCUCUUUAUUAGUAUUUUACAAAAAAUAGUUUUUUUUUACUGUAGAAAACUAGGUUUUUACUCCGAAUUCAAAAAUAUUUUCCAUCUCUGUUCUUAUACAGAGAAAAAAAAUGCUGUUGAAUCAACAGCAUCAGACUAAUUGGAAAUAUUUUUGUUAAUUUAGUGGCAGUAUUAAUGAAACUAAAAGUUUGAAAGUAAAGACAAUAACAAAUAUAGUUGAAUGAGUAAAAUUUAAUUGAAUUAACUGCAUAUCACAGUGACAAUCUGUGAUUCAUCAUUUUAAUUGAAUCAAAUUAUUUACGUUUUAAUUCAUAUUACAACAUUUUUCAUCGUACGUAAUUGUUUUGGUCCAACAAAUUUAUUUUUAAAUCUAACUAGAUUUUCAGAUACGUAAGCAAAGCCGCGCUCUUUCCAACGCGCACGUACGAUUUUCUCGAUAAGGGAAAGUGCUGUUUAUACGCAGAAUGACGGGAUUUUUUUCACGGGCUAUUUCGCACUUCGACCACCUUUCGCUCAUUGACCUUUGAACUCGCGAUUAAUCGCGAAGAAAAUACAAAGACAAGAGUGUUGAUAAAGCAACCGUUACGCGUGAUUAAAUUUUAUCUCCUCGAAUACGACCUUAGUGUUAUUUUCGUCCGACAAUUUCCGCGUGAUCGAUCGGCUGUAGACGACGAUUCGCGCGACGACAGCCGACUGGACAUGCUUUCCUCGGACGAAGUGUAAUCCAAUACGAUUUGUUUCACCUCAAUAUCAAAGAUCAGCAUCACUUUUUUUUUUGUAAUUUAGCUGUGGAGCAAGGCACGUCCGAUGGCAAUCCUUCAUUUUCAGCCGCAAGCAUCGUUACGCGCUUCUGCUCGAUGCUGAAAACGCGAUCUUCACAUGUGAUACGAACCGUCAGAUGAGAUCCACGCAAGACGUGCGACAAGAGGAUCGCGUGUAAACACAAGAAACGCGAGAGUUUUAUGGAUAUUGAUCGGUGGGAUUAUUUUAGAUCGCGGAGUCUGCGCAACGUUCUCGGCGAAUUCAUCACGAGCGUCGUGGAGUCGGUCUGGUAUUAAGGACGCAUGUGCCACGUUUUAAUGGACUACCAGAAAGUAUAAAAUUUCAUAGAUCGUUGUAUUAUGAUGCUUGAAUAUCUGCAAAAUUUCAGCACAAUUCUCUCACUGGUUUAAUGGUUAUUUAAUUUUUUAUUCCUGACUCGUAUGUAAAAUCGCGUUUUAUGACACUCCUUUGCAAAUUUGAAGAAGUAGCAUGAGAAGUUAAAUCCAAAUUUCUUCAUAUAGUAAUAAAACUCUAAUAAAUAUUCGUGCAAUAGAGAGUCCAUUUGAAUUUACUCGUUAAAAAGUCAUUUAACGUUGUAACAAAAUAGGGUCGUUUUCGUUGCACAAGCCAUUAUAAAUCAAAUUUCAUUAUUGCUUUCUUUUUUAUAACUGGUUUCAAAGUUCGUAUAUUUCAAAUUAAAAUAUUUUGUUGUUGAUUACGAUGAAAGACAAUAAAUCCUGCAUCGAACAAAAUUUUACGUUUAAGUAAAUAUAUUUAUUUUAAUUAUCACUGCCUUGAUUUAUAAAAAAUAUUUCCUAACUUUGAAAUAAGUUAUCUUGUACCACCUAAUUGUUAUUAAAUCAAGGAAAGGAUUAAAAUAACUAUAUUUACUUAACACAUAAAAGCAUUUGUUUCGGUUUGCAUUGUUUUUUAAUUUUUAUUACUUUUUAAUUUUGAUAAAUAUUUUUAUUUUAAUAAUUAUCAUUUCCUUGAUUUAAACAAUAUUUCCUAAAUUUGAAAUAAAUUAUAUCUUAUACCAGCUAAUUUUUAUUUAAAUCGAGGAAAGGAUUAAAAUAAAUAUAUUUAAUUGAACAUAAAAACAUUUUUUUUUUCUAGUUUGCAGUUUUUUUUUAAUUCUGAUAACUUUUUGCUGAUAAUGUAGAGCCACAGCAUCCUUAAUACGCCGUGAGGGAACGUAAAUAAUUUACGGAAGAAAACCUCGCGGAGGUGUUCCUUCGCUUCCUUCGCCGAGGAGCUAAACGCGACUUUGCUCUCGAACGAUGCAGUCGCGUCGCGAUAGUCGCGAUUACCUCGCACAGAGGUCCAUUGCGAUCCGUUCGUCCAUUCGCGUACGCUAUUAAGCCAUUAAAUGGUCGUAGCGCGCACUACGGAUAAUGGAGCGAGUCGCGCGGGCAAGAUAAAUAAAGGACGAUGAUUUAUGCAAACGACUCGCGCCAUUGCCGGUCGCGUUCUGGUUGCUCCUUCCUCUCUCGCGAACUGGCAUACCUAAUACCGCCGGCAAGGAAAUGACGGCUACGCAUAUUUAUGAUACACGCUCGGGGCGCACUCGCGCAUGCAGCUCUCCGCAUUCCCUGUAAAAACGACGGUAUGUGGGGCACAAAUAAUAUGCGGCCCGACCGACUUGGGCGCUCGCGAUAGUGACAGACAAUUAAUCGACAAUUACAUCGCGCUCCAGAAAAGUAUUAUCGAUUAGGAGAACGAAGACUGAAGACACACACACACACACACACACACACACACACUCACACACACACACACACACACACACACACACACUCACGUGUUCUUAAUUUUUUAACUAGGGUAUAAGGUCUCCACGAAUUAUUUUCAUUGAUCUACGCGGAAAGGACAAUUUUAGAACAAUGUAGUAUCUAAAAAUUUGAAUAGAUACAGAUCAGAAAUAACUUUAUGUCGGACGAUCAAAAUAAUGAUGUUAAGACGUUCAAGCACGGUGAUAUUGCUACAAAAAGUUUCGACGUUCUAGCAAUUAGCUUAAAUGUUCAAUAUAAAUUUUUUAAUAGCUCGACAUAAUUAUUUUCAGAUUUAUAUUUCAAUAAAAUUGUUUCUUUCCAUCUACUAUAUGUCUCUGACAAAAUCCAAUUUACCUCUCUCGUUUUUCAUAUCUAAAACUUUCUUUUAGCCAGACUUAUUCUAUAACUUUCAACUUCGUUACCGUUAUAAUGUCGUUGCAUAGAUAUAUAAUAAUACGCAGUAAAAAAGAGUUGCGACAUUAUUAACGAUAAUAGUUACAGAACAGGUCUGCAGAGCAUUUUUUUACGUUUUUUUUUGUCGUACGUACGCGAUAAAAUUGUAAAAGACAAAUCUUCACAAUGAAGAGCAAACACGAAUAUAUAGCGUGCUUUUGUUAUCUGUAGGUUAAUCACCCCUUAAGGGAUAAAACCCUGCUGGGUAGGUUGCCACGAAACACCCUCCUCGACGUUUCCCAUACAUAUCGUGUGUACAUCGAUCGUCUCGAUGGUUUCUAGCUGAGGGUCUGAUGGAUAACAGUGCUCUGCUACACUUAAGGGAAUAUUAAAAGAAUAGUUGCGAAAUACUGUUCUAGCAUGAUUCAUCAUAUCCACAGUUUGUAUCGAAAGACGUGGUAACGCCUUGUGCUAAACAUAUUUUUCGUAAAACAGCAAAUGCGAAAUAUUGACAAUCUCUCUCGAUUUGAAAUACAAGUUGUAUUUUGUAUUUUUAAUCCAGCUCGAUAUUUUGUAUUUCGUAAUUCAAGUACUAACAAUUUGAAAUACUUCUUUGCUCAGCCCUGUGGCAAAGUACGAGUACAUUUUUUUUUCAUGAGCGAGACGCAAAAGAAGAAUAGAAUUUUAUUACUUCAGCUCGCGAAGUCAGGAUGGGACUUGGUUUACAAAAUCAUUCAACCACGCACGUCCAUAUCCCUUAACUUAAUGAGAUAAUAUCUAGCUCUGUUUUCUCUCCGAUUAUUCUACAUUAUUUUAUUCACCUGUCUAUUCACGCAGUC